CGGCACCGCCCGCGCUGCCGGGCCCGGCUCCGUAUUGUCCUCCCGCCCCCUCCCACCACCCUCGGCCGCUGCCGCGUCCAGCGAGCUGUUGGCCUCCCGUCCGCCCAGUCUGGGUGUGUGUCGCGCGUGCAAUCGCGUAAGACAGGCCGAGUUCGUGGCUGGAGCAAAAAACACCACCUUAAGGGGCUGGGUUUAGUGAAGAAUGGUUUGGGGCCCCGGAGAUCCGAGGGCCCCCUUUGUUGGAGUUUUGCCCGCACGUUGUAAUUUAAGACUCCCACAGUCAGGAAGGUUUGCCUUGAAAGCAGUUCCGAAAGAUAAAGGCUGGAAAGACCGGACGUGGUAGUGACAGAGCGCUGGGGCGCUUCACAUGGUCAAGCAGAGAAAUGGGAAGAGGCUGGCUUGCUUCUUCCUGGUCCUGGGAGAACUGCAAACGGAGCCUUCCUCUUCGUUUUCAUGGCCCCAGGCUUUUCAUGCAGACACUGGUAGUUUCUGGUGGCUGAGAAGAGGGUAAGGAGAAUGUGGGUGGAAUUCAUAGGUGUCUUUGGGGCA
rnacentral:lncRNA from 1 species